GGGGCUGACCCGGUUUCGACGUGGGUUACAAAACAGAAUAGGGCAUACCGAGGCCUAGUGUCCUCGUAAAAAAAGCUAGAAAAUUAGUAAUCGCAAACGACGAUAACUACGCUUUAGCUGCUUAAUCCAGCUAAACGCUGUCCUGAUAUGCCACUCGCUCAGGUUACAGCGUCAUAUAGAGAGGCUCGGAAAUUAUUGGGUUACUUAGUAGUUUCUUAAAUUUAAGGUGACUCGUUAAUAUAUUUGGUUGCUUGUUACUGAAGUAUUAAUUAAAUUAAAUAAUAAGCUAAGUAUGUAGAACUAUCUGCGGAGGAUUCGCGGACGGGGGUUCGAUUCCCCCCAGCUCCACCA
rfam:beta proteobacterium KB13 scf_1106380163076 genomic scaffold, whole genome shotgun sequence.